rnacentral:rRNA from 1 species
UACAGAGGUCUCAAGCGUUGUUCGGAUUCAUUGGGCGUAAAGGGUGCGUAGGCGGCGCGGUAAGUCGGGUGUGAAAUCUCCGGGCUUAACCCGGAAAGGUCAGCCGAUACUGCGGGGCUAGAGUGCAGAAGGGGCAACUGGAAUUCUCGGUGUAGCGGUGAAAUGCGUAGAUAUCAGGAAGAACACCCGUGGCGAAGGCGGUUCUCUGGGAUGGUACUGAUGCUGAGACGCGAAAGCGUGGGGGAGCGAACAGG